rnacentral:lncRNA from 1 species
UCGGUGGACUCGGGCAGGGUCAGCGCCGCCGUGGCGGCGAGGAGGAAGGCGGAGGAGGAGAAGCGGCGCGCCGAGCAGGUGCUGCGCACCGUCAUGUUCCUCUCUGUCUGGGGUCCCAACACCUAGAAUUUGCAGACCAUCUGCGUGUAAUUGCUGCUAGCCUACUACUGUUGUGCUUGCGCAUGUUUCUGUUCGAGAUGAAGGAAUUGUAAAUGAUCUGAUAUAUGGACACAAAUCGAUCUGUUGAUUCUUCGAACAAGGCUCUGGCUCUGUUGCUGAUCUCAAGAUAUCUCUGAUGUGUCUGCGUACCUAUUCGUUCUCUUUCAAAUCUGUUUUCUAAAGUGCUGCCAAGGUUAUGCACUGCUGCGACUGCUUGUUUCCUCGAGCUGUCCGCUGUGCGUGGCGUUCUCUGUCACCCGUGCUCUCCACGCUGGGGGAGGGGCGGCGCGUGGCCCACGGCGACAGCGGCGCAGCCCUUGUCCGUACCUGGGCGGAGCGCACCCGCGUGGCCAUGCGCGCCGAGGUCGAGGCUGCCACAGCCGGCCGCAGGAGCCGGUGGAUUGAAGGGAGACCGGCAUGGGCAGAGGCGAAAAUCAAUCCGGGGAGGAGCUGAUGAAGGAAUUGCAGCAUUGGGUGGACGAGGGUCGCUGCUACCAUCCAUUUUCGCUGGAGAUUGGCCUGGCGGCGCUCAAACCAUGCGGUGGCGGAGCUAGGGUUCGCGGGAGGCGGGGAAACGAGCAAUGGGACAAGGGGAGGGGGCAACGGGAGGAAGCUGAUUGUUUUUUCCUUUCUAAGACCGAAACGGUACGUUGUGUAACCAGUAGUAAAGGUGAGUAAAUAAUCCCCAACUUCACGAGAAAGUUUGAAACUUAUGUUUUUGGAGCACUCCUGAGGUACUCCAAGAAAAACGUGAAUCUGACCCCUAGCUCCAUAUUUUUUCUGAAGCUGGAGUUUGUGAAGUAAGACGUGUUUGGCAGGCAAUUUUGUGGAGUUAUUGAAGUAGAGCUAUUUUUUCUGGAGUGAAGUGCUGCCAAACACUCCUAGUUCAUGUCCAGCCACGUUACUGCCACCUCUAACGUCUCAUGGAGCCCCACUGAGAACAGAAGAACGGCAAAACCCUUGCAGAGAAGAAACAUGGUGUUGGACCGCUCAAAAAAAAAACAGAAACAUGGUGUUGGGGCCGGGGGCGUGCGUUUGCUAGAGUUGGACUGUGGUGUGUGCGAGGGAAACUGGAUCAUGCACGCCUGAUAUGCCUGCCCGUGCCAUCGACCUGACCACAAGAAAAAUAUUCCGAACCGCUGACGAUGCACGCACGAUCCAGCAGCACAGGCUUGCCAGCUUUGCUAGCCUAUUUCAUCAACCGUCUACCGAUCGAUACACAGAUGACAGAUGCAGGGUGCUCUUCAGUUUGUGGCUCCUGGCAAGGUGUCGGGCGUCAGCAACGCUGGCGCGUAACGAUCGAUCGACAUCGAUCACGCACGCAGUGAAACCAAACGGGGUUCGUGUUGGAUGUGCCUGUCACGGGACGCGCACAUUUCUCCAUCGAUUGUGAUACGGCUCGAGUCAAGUCGUGUCUGCAUGUGACAAACUAGCAGAUACGCGUGCGCGGACGUGCCCAUCGGCGCGUUGUUUUCACCCCCUGAAAAUAACGUUGCGUCUCCGCGCCGUGCACGAAGAUUGUUAAUUUACGCCGAUGCCAGAACAGCACAGCCGUCGAUUGGACAGUUCGAUGGGUGCGGCUAGAUGUGGCGGAAGGCAUCGGCAACCAUAGCCUCACGAAGCGCGCUGGCAGUAGAAAUAUUCAGGAAGCGUGGUGGCAGUAGAAAUAUUCAUGAUGGGUCACGUAUUAGACCAAUUAACUAGACUAUUUUAGCACAGUUCGUUGCUUUCCCUAGACUGUUUUAGCACAGUUCCUUGCUUCUCCAUGUUAUGGUGUAGCUUUUUUUAGUUUGAUGCCGGUGCAUGCGUAUAUAGUGUAAAGAAGAUAGAGAAAGAAGAUUGCAUGGGUGCAUGCAAAUCUAAAAUAAAAAAUGUAUGAAUCUUAAACCGAGCAUCCAAACUAAAUUUUGAUUAUACCAUUAUAUUUGUUACGUCAAGAUCUUCAAAAGAAGAUCCCACAUGUUUUGAGAAUUUUUUUUAAAAACUAUUUUUAAUAUUAAAUAAUUAAUUUUGGCUACUGCGAAAACAUCACGAACAAAUAAUUAUUUUCUGCGAACAAAUAAUUAAAUAUGAUGAACAAAAUAAUUGUACAGUGCGAACAUAAAUAUUUAAAUCACGAACAAAUCGUUGCGUAAGAGAGUGUCAAACUAAAAAUGAAAUCAAAAUUAAAUUUCGAUUGCACCGUUAUAUUUUGAAAAUGAAACCUUCAAAACAAGACCCAUUUGACUAUAUUUGAACGAUUUUUAUUUAUCACUAUUUUUUAAUCAUGUUUCAAAUUUUUUUUGAGAUAUAUACUUCUGAAAAAAUUAUAUGAAUUCAAAGAACAAAAUAUAUGUAUAUAUCGAACAAAUUGUAUGUACUUACAGAAAAAAAGUCAAUACCUGGAACAAAUUAUACGAACUCACGAAACAAAAAUAGCUGUACAUGUCGAACAAUUUAUAUGAACUCACAGAAUAAAAAAUCUAUAUAACUCGAACAAAGUGCAAGAACCCACAGAACAAGUAUUUAUACAUAUAGAAAAAGAAAUGAAACUAUAAUAUACCAAAUAAAAUAAAAGAUAAAGAAAUAAUAUACAAAUAAUUAGAAAAAGGAAAGGGCACCACAAGAAAACAAAAGCAGAAGAAAGAAAAUGAUAUUGUAGUUUAACAUUGAAUUUCUCUUAAUAAUUUAAUUUCAUCAUGGGAAAAGUCAGUUAUAUUCUAUUAAUAUAAUAUAUAAAGAUUGAUGAUAUAAUUUAUGAAAUAAACCAUCCAAAGAAAGAAUAUCUACAUGACAAUUAGACUAAUCAAAAAGAAAGAAAGAAAAAUAAAAUAAUAUAUAUACAUAGAGAAAUAAUGAAAAGGGAAAAAAUAAAAAUUGAAAGGAAAGAAAUAGAAAAAUUGAACAACAAAGAAAGAAAAAAAAAA